UACGAAGGGGGCUAGCGUUGUUCGGAAUUACUGGGCGUAAAGCGCACGUAGGCGGACUAUUAAGUCAGGGGUGAAAUCCCGGGGCUCAACCCCAGAACUGCCUUUGAUAUUGGUAGUCUCGAGUCCGGAAGAGGUGAGUGGAAUUCCGAGUGUAGAGGUGAAAUUCGUAGAUAUUCGGAGGAACACCAGUGGCGAAGGCGGCUCACUGGUCCGGUACUGACGCUGAGGUGCGAAAGCGUGGGGAGCAAACAGG
rnacentral:rRNA from 1 species